CCUGUUCGGCAACUGCCACAGGUCGGGAUGUGAUUGACACACCACUCGAGUCCCGAGAACUGACUCGAGUGGGCGUGAAAAUUGAACCAGAAA
rnacentral:ncRNA from 1 species